rfam:Oryza brachyantha chromosome 9, whole genome shotgun sequence.
AAAAAAGCAGGAUGCUGAUCUCUGUAUAAGCAGUGUCCUCGUAAACUUUAGGAAUAACAUAGUCAUUGUUCUUGGGUGAAUCAGUGGACCACUUGAUGUUUAUUGAUUCAGUAAAUGAUGACACAUUU